GAUGAACGCUGGCGGCGUGCUUAAUACAUGCAAGUCGAGCGGACGGACGCGAAGCUUGUUGCUCUGUUGUUAGCGGCGGAGGGGUGUGUAACACGUGGAUCACCCACCUAUCAGACUGGGAUCACUUCGGGACACCGGAGCUUAUACCGGAUAAUAUUUUGCACCGCGUGGGUGAAAAGUGAAAGUCGGCCGUGGUGUAAGUUAUAGAUGGAUACGAGCUGCAUUGGCUAGUUGGUAAGGUAACGGCUUACAAAGGCAACUAUGCGUAACCGACCUCAUGGGGUGGUCGCCCACCCUGGAACUUGGACACGGUCCAUGCUCCUAAGGGAGGCACCAGUAGGGAAUCGUCCGCAAUGGUGGAAAGCCUGACGGAACAAGCCCACGUGAGUUAUGGAGAUCUUCGGAUCGUAAAACUCUGUUAUUAGGGAAAAACAUAUGUGUAAUUAACUGAGCACAUCGUGACGGUACCUAGUCAGAAAGCCACGGCUAACUACGUG
rnacentral:rRNA from 1 species